rnacentral:tRNA from 7 species
GCCAUCUAGCUCAGUUGGUAGAACUCAAGGCUCUUAACCUUAGGUUGGGGGUUCGAGCCCCACUAUGAGCA